ACAAUGGGCUUUUAUGCACCAAACAGCUGUGUUCAUCAUGUUUAUUUAGAAGGCAUCCAUUGUAGUGGAAAGAGUCUGGAGGACAAAAAUCUUGAAGUACAAGACUACUCUGUGGGUGCUGGCACUUUUAUUUUUUUUCUGUCCUGUUCCUUUGGUCAGUAUGCAAGUCACAUACACAGGCAGUGCCAUGCAGACUUGCAAACCCUGUAUAAUAGCAACUUUUCACAAGCGCUGUCUCUUAUUUCAAGUGUUCUUCUCCAGAAAGUUUCAAUUGCAAGGCAACAUACAGGACACACAACUAUUUUACACCCUAUGAUCCUAUCAUUUUUCAAUCUGUUGCUAUUUUGGACCCUCAUUAGGUCACUUUCCAAAUAUUGUGUACAGCUAUGUGUCAAUCAUUGUCACAGCUCGGCUCCAGGCUAAGCCAACCCAGGACAAAACCGUGAGGAGAAAAAAAUGCCAACCAAAGCAAGCACUGUGUAGAAAACAGUCAACAGUUUGACUGUGGAAAGCUAUGUGUUGUUCCAAAGAUAGCAUAAGCCCACUUGCUGCAGAAACAGCAUACAGUACUAAUGCUCUCCAAAAUAAUUUUAUGUGGUUGAAAUGUGUAGUGCAUACCCAAUGGCAUCUGCAAAUAAACAGAUGUUAGAAUCUCAAGAAUUAGGAGCAUGACAUUGUCGGAAACUCUUGGGUGACUCCUGCCAAAAAGCAGCCUAGUUUCCCGUUUCUGGAAAGAACAGAGCAUCUAACAUAUUGGCAGAACUUCUUUUGAGCAACAGUAUCUCUAGCACCUUCUAAAGCCUUGAAUGAAAGCUGCUGUAUAAGCAGGCAGUGCUAGCCUGGGAAAUUAGAGGGUUCCCUACUUCCAGCAGGGCAUAUCCAGGAGGGCAGAUACAUUCCCAUGCCAUAGGAGAUAGCUCUGCUCCUUUCCCUCUUUUAAGGUUACCAUGUAUUAAGACAAAGUUCAGGUGAAUACUGGAAAAACAGAAGUGUCUUCAUCACCCACAUAGUCAAUGCUGUCAUCACAGGCUGGAACAUGAAUGGCAACAAACUAACACGCUUUAUCUUUUAAAAAUAAUAAAACAGCUGCAUAGAAUGAAAUGGCUUCUUAUUUUUUGAAUGGUGAAUGCUCUUGGCUUUCUACAGAGCUGGAAUUCUCAGUUGCUACUGUUCAUGUGCCUCAGGAAACUGUAAUGAGGUUAAAAAGAGCAGAAUAAAGUUGCAGCUUGUGGAUGAUAGGAAUCCACACAGAAGGUGACUUCUGGGAUCUGAAAACAGCACAGCUGGGGAGAGGCUGCACAGGGACUGACUGCUUGGAGCUGGGGCAGAGACAGGGGCCUGAGGAAGGACUGGCAUAGCAGGCAAAUUAUUUUCCAGAAGAAAGUUAGGGGGGAAAAUGGAAAACACUAUGAGCCAAGUGGAAAGGGAGUGUGACAAAAGGAUUAGCCCCUACUCGCACAGAGUAUAGUAGAAGCCAAAAAUGAACUUGGGGAACUGUCAGGAAGAGAAAACUGUUUCUCAGAGACUGUUUCAAAGACUUCCUGAAUGCAGACUCCAUUUACUUGUUUCUUCCUUUUCUCCCAAAAAAUAAAGGACCUGCUGUGAGCAGAAUGUAUCCCAACUUCAACAGACACAGGCCUGAAGAGAGUCCCAAUCUGGAAUCCAUGCUGGCCGAACUCCUGGAGCCUUGCUGCUACCUGGGUACCAUAAAACUUGAAAGCCAAGCAGGAAGGGGUAAAAUCUACAAUUUGUCAUCAACAGGCAUGAAAGACAGCUCUCAACCAAGCAUUUUUGUUAGCAACGGUUUCAAAAUGCACUCAGGUAGUGCUGUAAAGCCGCAGCACUGUUAAGGCAAGCACCCUCACCGCCGAGCCGUGAAUUUAAAGCGCCCGUCUGCCUUUGGCUCCUCCGUGUUCAGGCUGGGAAAGGCUGUAAUGUCAGCCCCACCCUCUGCCUGUGGGAUACUUGUGGGGAGCAAAUACAGGGUUCUUCUUGUUCCUGCCAUGAUCGAUUGUGUCUGUCACACACCUCACUGCACAAUGUCAGCUACUUCUGAUAUCCCUUCAAGCUCCAGAUCGCCAGGAGAAGGCAGUGAAACCCCAAACCUUCAGUGGUGGCUUUGGAGCCCUGCAGCAGCCAGGGUUUGUUUGGCCACCUGUGUGCUUGUGGCUUUUAAGUGCCUGCCCAGAUCCCUGAAGCUUCAAGCCUAAGCUAAGAAUUUAUUAUGAGCUUUGGACUUGAAACAUUUUUUUUCACGUUAAGUUCUUCUGUUACUGUUCAACUUCUGCUCAUGCAGCAAUAUAGGUACAGGCUAAACUUGAGUAUUGGUGUUUUUGGAUGACAUUGUUAGAAUUAAUGCAAACCAAAACCCAACAAAAACCCCCUAGCUUGCAGUGAAAAAGCUACUUUUGCUAUACCUUAAGUGGAAUAUCUCCAGCUCCCUUGUUUCCCACUGGCUGGUUGUGACAGUUUCCCAAACUAAAAAGCCACCCUCUUCUAACAGGAGGAAGGCUCUGGCUCUGCCAUAAUCACUCCUAGCACCCUGGCUCUGUGUGGAAUGCUCCCACAUCCUGGGAGGAGUCCAGCAUCUGCUCUGCAAACCACAGUGCAUAGUUUUGCAUAUUAGAAAUACUUUCUUAGAGAUUUACUUUCUCAAAUAUACCUGUACAAAAGGUCAUGACUUAACAGUUCUUACUGGCAUAUCAAACAAAGUUAUUUGGUCUUGACUUUGGUCUUGACUUACACUUGAUGUCCAUUAACGUUCUUCUUAAAAAUAAUAUUUUAAAAUUAUUUAUUUAAUAGUAUUAUGCUGUGCCUUUUUCUGUAAUAAAAUUUUAAGUAUUGAUAGUGUGUUCCAAUAUAAGGCAAGACAGCAUAUACUUUUCCUCUUGAUCCCCCUUAUUCCUCUAAUUCUCUUUAAAAAAAGAGUUCCUUUGCUUAUUUAUGCAGAGCACCUUCAUUUCCUGACUCUCUUCUGGUUUCAAAUCUCUAUUAAAUGUAUCAAUAAUACAAUUAAUAAAUGGAGAUUGGUUGUUCCAGUACUAUUGUUCUUCCCUAGCAGGAAGAGAGGUGGAUAACUCU